rnacentral:lncRNA from 1 species
GUUAUCGCUGUUAGUGGUGGAGAAAGUUAGAAUCCUCUGAGACAGACAGCCCAGCUUGCUUUUGGAGUUCUUGAUGGCAGCAUCUCUACAUUCUUUCUACAAAGAGACUGAGUGGCAGAGAGCAGCAGAGCCACUUGAGAAGAUGGUUGUCUAGCAUCCUCUUCUUCAUGCCACCCCGAGAAGAGGAAAUGCUUCCACCAGGUUCAAUGGCAUACAUCUUCCUUUGGCCUUUCCCUUAUCUAGUUCUUGAAAUGGACCACGAUUGACCUCACUCCCAAGCCCACCACGGGAAUCACAUCUCACUAACAGUGGGAAAAUAAACAGCUGGCUACAUUUUAUAAACUACCUAAUUUCAGACCAGCUCUCCUGCCAAGGACAACGGAAAAAGC